rnacentral:rRNA from 1 species
UUAAACUGAAGAGUUUGAUCCUGGCUCAGAUUGAACGCUGGCGGUAUGCUUAACACAUGCAAGUCGAACGCGAAAG